GAUGAACGCUGGCGGCGUGCCUAAUACAUGCAAGUCGAACGAAACUUCUUUAUCACCGAGUGCUUGCACUCACCGAUAAAGAGUUGAGUGGCGAACGGGUGAGUGACACGUGGGCAACCUGCCCAAAAGAGGGGGAUAACACUUGGAAACAGGUGCUAAUACCGCAUAACCAUAGUUACCGCAUGGUAACUAUGUAAAAGGUGGCUAUACUACCGCUUUUGGAUGGGCCCGCGGCGCAUUAGCUAGUUGGUAGGGUAAAGGCUUACCAAGGCAAUGAUGCGUAGCCGAAUUGAGAGGUUGAUCGGCCACAUUGGGACUGAGACACGGCCCAAACUCCUACGGGAGGCAGCAGUAGGGAAUCUUCCACAAUGGGCGAAAGCCUGAUGGAGCAACGCCGCGUGGGUGAAGAAGGUCUUCGGAUCGUAAAACCCUGUUGUUAGAGAAGAAAGUGCGUGAGAGUAACUGUUCACGUUUCGACGGUAUCUAACCAGAAAGCCACGGCUAACUACGUG
rnacentral:rRNA from 1 species